rnacentral:rRNA from 1 species
UUGAAGAGUUUGAUCAUGGCUCAGAUUGAACGCUGGCGGCAGGCCUAACACAUGCAAGUCGAACGGUAGCACAGAGAGCUUGCUCUCGGGUGACGAGUGGCGGACGGGUGAGUAAUGUCUGGGAAACUGCCUGAUGGAGGGGGAUAACUACUGGAAACGGUAGCUAAUACCGCAUAACGUCGCAAGACCAAAGAGGGGGACCUUCGGGCCUCUUGCCAUCAGAUGUGCCCAGAUGGGAUUAGCUAGUAGGUGGGGUAACGGCUCACCUAGGCGACGAUCCCUAGCUGGUCUGAGAGGAUGACCAGCCACACUGGAACUGAGACACGGUCCAGACUCCUACGGGAGGCAGCAGUGGGGAAUAUUGCACAAUGGGCGCAAGCCUGAUGCAGCCAUGCCGCGUGUAUGAAGAAGGCCUUCGGGUUGUAAAGUACUUUCAGCGGGGAGGAAGGUGUUGUGGUUAAUAACCACAGCAAUUGACGUUACCCGCAGAAGAAGCACCGGCUAACUCCGUGCCAGCAGCCGCGGUAAUACGGAGGGUGCAAGCGUUAAUCGGAAUUACUGGGCGUAAAGCGCACGCAGGCGGUCUGUCAAGUCGGAUGUGAAAUCCCCGGGCUCAACCUGGGAACUGCAUUCGAAACUGGCAGGCUAGAGUCUUGUAGAGGGGGGUAGAAUUCCAGGUGUAGCGGUGAAAUGCGUAGAGAUCUGGAGGAAUACCGGUGGCGAAGGCGGCCCCCUGGACAAAGACUGACGCUCAGGUGCGAAAGCGUGGGGAGCAAACAGGAUUAGAUACCCUGGUAGUCCACGCCGUAAACGAUGUCGACUUGGAGGUUGUGCCCUUGAGGCGUGGCUUCCGGAGCUAACGCGUUAAGUCGACCGCCUGGGGAGUACGGCCGCAAGGUUAAAACUCAAAUGAAUUGACGGGGGCCCGCACAAGCGGUGGAGCAUGUGGUUUAAUUCGAUGCAACGCGAAGAACCUUACCUACUCUUGACAUCCAGAGAACUUAGCAGAGAUGCUUUGGUGCCUUCGGGAACUCUGAGACAGGUGCUGCAUGGCUGUCGUCAGCUCGUGUUGUGAAAUGUUGGGUUAAGUCCCGCAACGAGCGCAACCCUUAUCCUUUGUUGCCAGCGGUCCGGCCGGGAACUCAAAGGAGACUGCCAGUGAUAAACUGGAGGAAGGUGGGGAUGACGUCAAGUCAUCAUGGCCCUUACGAGUAGGGCUACACACGUGCUACAAUGGCGCAUACAAAGAGAAGCGACCUCGCAAGAGCAAGCGGACCUCAUAAAGUGCGUCGUAGUCCGGAUUGGAGUCUGCAACUCGACUCCAUGAAGUCGGAAUCGCUAGUAAUCGUAGAUCAGAAUGCUACGGUGAAUACGUUCCCGGGCCUUGUACACACCGCCCGUCACACCAUGGGAGUGGGUUGCAAAAGAAGUAGGUAGCUUAACCUUCGGGAGGGCGCUUACCACUUUGUGAUUCAUGACUGGGGUGAAGUCGUAACAAGGUAACCGUAGGGGAACCUGCGGUUGGAUCACCUCCUU